rnacentral:misc_RNA from 1 species
UCCCGGCUUAUCACCGGCAGUCCCCCUAGAGUGCCCAACUGAAUGGUGGCAACUAAGGGCAAGGGUUGCGCUCGUUGCGGGACUUAACCCAACAUCUCACGACACGAGCUGACGACAACCAUGCACCACCUGUACACCGACCUUGCGGGGCGACCAUCUCUGGCCGUUUCCGGUGUAUGUCAAGCCUUGGUAAGGUUCUUCGCGUUGCAUCGAAUUAAUCCGCAUGCUCCGCCGCUUGUGCGGGCCCCCGUCAAUUCCUUUGAGUUUUAGCCUUGCGGCCGUACUCCCCAGGCGGGGCGCUUAAUGCGUUAGCUGCGGCACGGAGACCGUGGAAUGGCCCCCACACCUAGCGCCCAACGUUUACGGCGUGGACUAC